GUUUCAAUGGAUAGCUUUCGAUACAGUGAGAAACCACAGCUUGGCCAACACCCAGGCAUUCAGCAAUAAAAUUCUGGUGCUGUGACUUGGAUUGCAGUGCUUGUGGCUCAGUGGCCACAGGCUAGAGAGAUCUGGAAACCCUCCCAGCAGCUGCCCAGCUAUAUUCAUCCAGAGGCGGGUUUUUGUUUCUCUCUCUUCCCUCACUGCUGCUGGCCCCAACCAUAUUCUUGAUUACUUAUGAAGGACAGGCUUUGAAAUUUGACAUCUGUAUCCAUCAAGGAGGGUAAGGAAACUGAAAUAUGACAAGGUUAAAUGAUUCAGAUGAGGGGCCGGAAAGCACGCCUCCCGAGACCCAUUCCUGGAAGCGGGUCUUUAAAGCUGCUCUCAGUUUAAAAUCAACCAAAUGCUCAGAUAUCAGAUGCGGAAACUGAGGCACAGGGAAUUUGAACAACUUGCUCAAGGUCAUAAAGCUAGAAGGAGGCACAGCCAAGCAUGGGCUUGUGUGACCUCAAAGCCUAUGUUCUCGCCACUGCUCUAAACUGUUUAUUCUGUUGGCUUGUCAUAAUGAUUGAAGACAAUGUAUAUAAAUCACAGAGGGUAGGACUCAGCUUGUAAUAUGUCCUCCAUACAUUUUAUCGAACAUUAUUAAUUAAUAAACAACAGAUAAAUAACAACAGUGCUUUGUUUGAUUAAAUUAUAUAUAUGAUUAUAUUUCUUCAGUGAAAUUGUUGGUUAUGCAUUUCUUACAAAUAAUUCACAAAUAUUAAUGAAUGUCUGUGUUGCAGCAGGCAUUUUGCUCACCACGGUGGACCUGGGGGUAUGUGAAAUAGGCACCAUCUCUGCUCUCACAAAUUUAAUACGUGCAGGCUGCUGGAUUGGACUAAAGUCCUGAGGAGAACUAUAACAAUCUCUUAGAGGGAACAGUGAUUAAACAGGGAUCAAUUGUGCCACCCAUAUAGCCUUCCUACUUACUGAUCAAGAAUGAUAGCAGACCUUAGCAAGUGCAAAUCAACAAGAGGAAUCCAAUGGUGCUAUUCACUACUAUGAAGCUUUUCAUUUUGCCUCUUACUAAGAUUUCAAAGCUAUUCUUGCCCCCCACCCCACACAAAAACAAAUACUGUGCAAUCUCACUUACAUGUGGAAUCUGAAAAAGUUGAACUCGUAGAAGCAGAGAGUACAAUAGUGGGUGCCAUGGGCUGGGGGUGGAGGAAAUGGGAGAUGAUAGUCAAGGGUACAAACUUUCAGUUAUAAGAUGAACAAGUUCUGGGGCUCUAAUGUACACGAUGGGUGGUGAUGAAUGUUUUAAUUAAUUUGAUUAUUGUAAGAAUUACACAAUGUAUACAUUUAUCUAAUCAUCAUAUUAUAUACCUU
rnacentral:lncRNA from 1 species